rnacentral:rRNA from 1 species
UACGUAGGGGGCAAGCGUCAUCCGGAUUUACUGGGUGUAAAGGGCGUGUAGGCGGGAAAGCAAGUCAGAUGUGAAAGCCACGGGCUCAACCUGUGGCCUGCAUUUGAAACUGUUUUUCUUGAGUACUGGAGAGGCAGACGGAAUUCCUAGUGUAGCGGUGAAAUGCGUAGAUAUUAGGAGGAACACCAGUGGCGAAGGCGGUCUGCUGGACAGCAACUGACGCUGAGGCGCGAAAGCGUGGGGAGCAAACAGG